rfam:Candidatus Pacebacteria bacterium RIFCSPHIGHO2_01_FTLL_46_16 rifcsphigho2_01_scaffold_960, whole genome shotgun sequence.
GCCGAAGUAGCUCAGUGGCAGAGCACCUUCUUGGUAAGAAGGGGGUCGAGGGUCCAAUUCCCUCCUUCGGCU